GCACGAGUAGCUCAGUUGGUAGAGCACCACGUUGCCAACGUGGAUGUCGCCGGUUCGAGUCCGGUCUCGUGCUCCA
rnacentral:tRNA from 1 species